GACGAACGCUGGCGGCGUGCUUAACACAUGCAAGUCGAACGAUGAACCCGGAGCUUGCUCUUAUGAAGUUAGCGGCGGACGGGUGAGUAACACGUGGGUAACCUGCCCAUAAGACUGGGAUAACUCCGGGAAACCGGGGCUAAUACCGGAUAACAUUUUGAACCGCAUGGUUCGAAAUUGAAAGGCGGCUUCGGCUGUCACUUAUGGAUGGACCCGCGUCGCAUUAGCUAGUUGGUGAGGUAACGGCUCACCAAGGCAACGAUGCGUAGCCGACCUGAGAGGGUGAUCGGCCACACUGGGACUGAGACACGGCCCAGACUCCUACGGGAGGCAGCAGUAGGGAAUCUUCCGCAAUGGACGAAAGUCUGACGGAGCAACGCCGCGUGAGUGAUGAAGGCUUUCGGGUCGUAAAACUCUGUUGUUAGGGAAGAACAAGUGCUAGUUGAAUAAGCUGACACCUUGACGGUACCUAACCAGAAAGCCACGGCUAACUACGUGCCAGCAGCCGCAGUAA
rnacentral:rRNA from 1 species